rnacentral:sRNA from 1 species
UGAUGCUCCAUGAAAGAAGUGGCAGUUUAGCCCUCGACUUCAGCAGCUGCACAAGGACUUUUGUUCCAGGCAGUUGUCCCGCCCUGGAAUGCAGUGCCGCGGAAGCGUGUUGGGCGCAUUCUCAUUUGUCACACAGAGUAUUAAGAAGACAUGUCCUCGAGGGUUGCAUUGAACAAAAUGAUGAAUUUUCCUGCUUUAUCAAGAGGAUUUUAAAGCAAAACUGACACUUUUUGAUUUUUAAAAGAAUUUUAGAACUUGUAUUUUCUUUGUGUAUUAUUUAUUACUGCGAGUGCGUGUGGUAGUAGAGGUGACAAUGACUCCUAGUACAGUUUGGCAAGAACCCCGUGGUUCUUGCCCAUGUCUCUGCAGUUUUGCAGAGGCAAAACUGUAUUUUCCAUACAACACACUGUGGAAAAGACAAUGAAUGUCUUAGUGUUAUUAGGGCAAUCAUUUGUCCUUGGGGGCCCGCAGGGGUCCGUGGACUCACUUGUUGAGAACUGCCAUCUGCCAAGGCUGUGCGUCCAUUUCUGAGUGGUGAUCAAUGCUUUGUGACCAUUUUAUCUCACUUAAAGUGAACGAGCACACUCCACUGUUUCUGAUGUGUCCGACUGAUUUCUGUCCACAUUACUAGGAUUCCCUCUUUCUCUUCUUUUUCUUCUCUUUUAGCAAGGAAAUUUCAACAGUUCCCUUGGCUCAGAUGGGUACAUGCUCUCGGCCCUGACCUGUGGGAUGGCUCCAGUAACUUCUAUUACUGAGGGGCUCCAGCAGGUGGUCACCAUGGGCCUUUUCCGCACUAUUGCUUUGUUUUACCUUGGAAGUUUUGACAGCAUAGUUCGUCGCUGCAUGAUGCAGAGAGAAAAAUCUGAAAAUGCAGACAAAACUGCCUAAUCUUCUUACCCCUUGGAAGAAGACUGUUUCCAAAUAAUUUGAACAGCUUGCUGCUAAAUGGGACCCAAUUUUUGGCCUAUAGACACUUAUAUAUUGUUUUCAAAUAUGUCAGAUUGGACCAGUGCUCUUCAGAAAUGUGGCUGCAAGCAAGGGGCUAGAAGUUCACCUCCUGACAAUAUUAUUAAUACUAUGCAAAUAUGGAAUAGGAGACCAUUUGAUGUUCUAGGCUUUGUGGUAGAGAGGUGAAGGUAUGAGAAUUAAUAGCAUGUGAACAAGGUAAAGAACACGAUUCCAGAAUGAUCAUUAAAUUUUUUUCUAUUUAUUCUUUUUUUGCCCCCCUAGAGAUUAAGUCCAGAAAUGUACUUUCUGGCACAUAAAG